CAAGUCGAGCGAGAAGGUGUAGCAAUACACUUGUAAAGCGGCGAACGGGUGAGGAAUACAUGGGUAACCUACCAUCGAGUGGGGAAUAACCAGCCGAAAGGUUGGCUAAUACCGCGUACGCCUCCAAAUCUACGGAUUUGAAGGGAAAGCUGCACUGUGAGUGUGGCGCUCAUUGAUGGGCUCAUGUCCUAUCAGCUUGUUGGCAGGGUAACGGCCUACCAAGGCUUUGACGGGUAGCUGGUCUGAGAGGACGAUCAGCCACACUGGCACUGCGACACGGGCCAGACUCCUACGGGAGGCAGCAGUAAGGAAUAUUGCGCAAUGGACGAAAGUCUGACGCAGCGACGCCGCGUGGGGGAUGAAGGUCUUCGGAUUGUAAACCCCUUUCGGGAGGGAAGAUGGAACGAGCAAUCGUUCGGACGGUACCUCCAGAAGCAGCCACGGCCAACUUCGUGCCAGCAGCCGCGGUAAUACGAAGGUGGCAAGCGUUGUUCGGAUUCACUGGGCGUACAGGGUGUGUAGGCGGUUUGGUAAGCCUUCUGUUAAAGCUUCGGGCCCAACCCGGAAAGCGCAGAGGGUACUGCCAGGCUAGAGGGCGGGAGAGGAGCGCGGAAUUCCCGGUGUAGCGGUGAAAUGCGUAGAGAUCGGGAGGAAGGCCGGUGGCGAAGGCGGCGCUCUGGAACGUACCUGACGCUGAGACACGAAAGCGUGGGGAGCAAACAGGAUUAGAUACCCUGGUAGUCCACGCCCUAAACUAUGGAUACUAAGUGUCGGCGGGUUACGCCGGUGCCGCA
rnacentral:rRNA from 1 species